AGUGAACGCUGGCGGUAGGCCUAACACAUGCAAGUCGAACGGCAGCACAGGAGAGCUUGCUCUCUGGGUGGCGAGUGGCGGACGGGUGAGGAAUACAUCGGAAUCUACUCUGUCGUGGGGGAUAACGUAGGGAAACUUACGCUAAUACCGCAUACGACCUACGGGUGAAAGCAGGGGACCUUCGGGCCUUGCGCGAUUGAAUGAGCCGAUGUCGGAUUAGCUAGUUGGCGGGGUAAAGGCCCACCAAGCAGACGAUCCGUAGCUGGGCUGAGAGGAUGAUCAGCCACACUGGAACUGAGACACGGUCCAGACUCCGACGGGAGGCAGCAGUGGGGAAUAUUGGACAAUGGGCGCAAGCCUGAUCCAGCCAUACCGCGUGGGUGAAGAAGGCCUUCGGGUUGUAAAGCCCUUUUGUUGGGAAAGAAAUCCAGCUGGCUAAUACCCGGUUGGGAUGACGGUACCAAAGAAUAAGCACCGGCUAACUUCGUGCCAGCCGCCGCCGUAA
rnacentral:rRNA from 1 species